GAUGAACGCUGGCGGCGUGCCUAAUACAUGCAAGUCGAGCGAACAGACGAGGAGCUUGCUCCUCUGACGUUAGCGGCGGACGGGUGAGUAACACGUGGAUAACCUACCUAUAAGGCUGGGAUAACUUCGGGAAACCGGAGCUAAUACCGGAUAAUAUAUUGAACCGCACGGUUCAAUAGUGAAAGACGGUUUUGCUGUCACUUAUAGAUGGAUCCGCGCCGCAUUAGCUAGUUGGUAAGGUAACGGCUUACCAAGGCAACGAUGCGUAGCCGACCUGAGAGGGUGAUCGGCCACACUGGAACUGAGACACGGUCCAGACUCCUACGGGAGGCAGCAGUAGGGAAUCUUCCGCAAUGGGCGAAAGCCUGACGGAGCAACGCCGCGUGAGUGAUGAAGGUCUUCGGAUCGUAAAACUCUGUUAUUAGGGAAGAACAAAUGUGUAAGUAACUAUGCACGUCUUGACGGUACCUAAUCAGAAAGCCACGGCUAACUACGUG
rnacentral:rRNA from 1 species